CAGUGACCCCGCGGGGGCACUCGCAGCCAUUGCAGGGGCUCUAGGGGUGAUCGUGGUGUCUCUGGCACCUGGGGGACCCUCCAGGGCCUUCGGAAUCCCUGAUGCAGGCAGCAGAAACGGGGGGCUGGGGGCGUUUGAUACCAAAGAGACCCCCGGAGGGAUAGCCUGCACCGAGGAUCAUGGGAGAAGCAGAAGCUGUCUUGAGCAACCAGCAGGACGCGGGGACGGCCUUGCUGAGCAGGAUCCAGCCCAGACAGCCCCAGCUCUGCCACCAGCCGCAGGCUUCACCCCUAAAUGUCCCUCCCUCUUUGGUCACCUGCACCUGCCCUUGGUCCAGCCCACACUGGGCCCCACUCCUGGGCUGCCUGGGUGUGGGAGAGGGGUUCUCCCCAUAAGGGAAGUCAGCUCCCUCCCGUCCCCCACAGAGGGGGCUUCUCCCACAGGCUGAGGACCACCGGCUGUGGAGGCCUCUUCCCCAGGCCUCGCCAGCUGCCCAGCCUCCAGGACUGACUCCUUUGCACAUGCCCAGUUUGGAGCCCCUUCCCUCGGGCCUCCCCUGCUGGGGGUGAUGGGAGUCGGAGCACAGCUGUGUGUGUGGUCCUGAGAACUGAACCCGGAGCCGUGCAGGCUUGGAAAACACUCUACCCCUGAGCUAUGGCCCC
rnacentral:lncRNA from 1 species